UACCCCAGAGCAGGAAUGGUCAAACCGCGGCUCCCCAGCCGCUGCAACACCACAAAUCCCACCAUGCCCCGCUGCAAGCUAAUAGCUGUAAGCAGACUGGGCAUGCUGGGAGCCGCAAUCCC